AUUGAACGCUGGCGGCAUGCCUUACACAUGCAAGUCGAACGGCAGCAUGGAGAGCUUGCUCUCUGAUGGCGAGUGGCGAACGGGUGAGUAAUGCAUCGGAACGUACCGUGUAAUGGGGGAUAACGUAGCGAAAGUUACGCUAAUACCGCAUACGACCUGAGGGUGAAAGCAGGGGAUCGCAAGACCUCGCGUUAUACGAGCGGCCGAUGUCAGAUUAGCUAGUUGGUGAGGUAAAGGCUCACCAAGGCGACGAUCUGUAGCGGGUCUGAGAGGAUGAUCGGCCACACUGGGACUGAGACACGGCCCAGACUCCUACGGGAGGCAGCAGUGGGGAAUUUUGGACAAUGGGGGCAACCCUGAUCCAGCCAUGCCGCGUGAGUGAAGAAGGCCUUCGGGUUGUAAAGCUCUUUCGGCCGGGAAGAAAUCGCACAGGCUAAUACUCUGUGUGGAUGACGGUACCGGCAUAAGAAGCACCGGCUAACUACGUGCCAGCCGCCGCAGUAA
rnacentral:rRNA from 1 species